rnacentral:rRNA from 1 species
AUGCCUGCCGACAAACCACCAGAGUGGGAUGCCAUGUCCACCAAGGAGCAGUUGUUGUGGUAUCUCGAGAGGUUAUGCGCUCAGGCAGACGAGAUGUGCUCAGCAUUGGGUAUUGCACGAGUGGGUGACCCUCCCAUGGUCACCUCGCUUAUCGAUCCGGCGGCUUCAACCACGACGCACGCCUCGUCCGCGCCCGUCCCCGACGUCUCCUGCUCCACCACCAAGUCCCAGGAGGUCCUCAAGGUCCUCCACGACACGGCCCCUGCCUCCAUCGAGAUGGCGCACGUCAUCUGUUCGAUGAAAUGCUCGGACGAGGUCGCCACCACCGAAUUUGGCGACACGGGCCAUGAUGCCCCUACUGCCAUCCUUCUCAAGCCAGCGGUCGACCUCAACGACAUCACGCCCACCCCUCCAAUGGCCAAACCGGAAGACCAGAAGGAGUACCAGGUUGUUGCGACCACGCCCUGGGCUGUCGAUAUCACCAUCGAUGUCCAACUUGCCACCCCUAUACCUCCCAUGCUCUCGAGGUAUGACCCUGACAACAACUGCGACGACGUUGCUGAUGCGUCCCUGAUUUUGUUGGUCGCGCACUCGGCGAAAUCAGUGCCUUCGGUUGUCCUCGUCCACGGCAAUGCCAGGGUGCAGCCAAUUGCACGCACAGAGCAUCGACCAAAUGGCGUUCAUCUUGUGAUGGGGAGCAAAUGCUUACUACUGCCACCAUUGCAAAAGGAAAUCAAGCAGCAACCGUGGCCACCCCCUAUUCAAGUGCAGAUUGUUGAGGAGGGUGUUGUUCUCUUCUAUGACAUCCCUCAAAGCUGUUUUACUGAUGAUUUUGGCUAUGAGUGGUGGCCACCUGACCACCAGCCGGGUGACUAUCAAACAGAGCUUUCUUUUGCAGUACAUCCAGAUGGAGAACCGUUCUUGAACCAUGUCUGGGACGUCUCGCCGCACACAAGGCACCAGGGCCUGCUACUACGGCCGAUACCGUGGCCAUCGUUUCUGGAAGAUCAUAUUGCAGAAGGGAAUGAGAUUCAACCAACUCCAUGGCCAUCAUUUGCAGUCAGUGUGCCAUCAGAGGUUUGUCAUUCUAGUGUUGCCCAUUGCAACUUCUCGGUGACUACUUCUGUUCAUAGCCUUCAUAAAUGGACAUUCAGGGCACAUCCAUAUCAGUUUGCCCAAGUGCUUGACAUGGGUUUGACUAGUAGCAGCUUUCCAAUGGAAUCAUGUCAUGUUGGAGAUCUUGUGGGCAAUCACCGUAGACACUGCAUACAGAAGAAUUUUUCUGGUGAUCUAAAGCUCCCGAGAGAAUCCUGGAAGUACCUACAAAUUGUACAGCAGAAACCAUGUCAGCCUGAGCAGGAAUGGAGGUUAUCUAUUUCAACUGAGCUACAAGGUUAUGACACACCAGGUGCGGACCGUGAGCACCAAACAAAGGCGCAACCACUGUUCGAGUUCAGUCAAGGGACGACCCAGCUGAAGCAUUCGUGGCCAUCAUUGUCAUGCAAUUGCCGAGCAGUACAGGUUUUGAGCAUGUCAGUGUUGUAUCUCUCGAGUGUGCAGUUGAAACUAUCUCCCUCUAAGAAGGCCUUUUCUGCAUUUCGGGCUCGAGAUGUACAUCCAAGGUUUGGGUUCAGUCAAAAAAAUAUUCAGCUGAAGCUAGCAGGGCCACAUUUUUCCCGGGAUUGCCGAGCAGUGCAGUUUCUUGUUAUUCAUGAGAAGUUGACUAGUCGUUUGUGCCAUGAGCAAUUGUGGAGCACUAAAUACCAUGUGUGUAAAAACCAAGAGCGGCUGAACUUAUGUGAAAAUCACGUUCUGGAGCAAGCUACUACUUAUAAUAUUCCUUGGCAUGAGAAAUUGCAGGGGGGCAUGAAGACCAUGAGCAUGUCAGCAAAUUGGCCACUUUUGGUUCAGAGGGAAUAUAAGAGGAGUGGCCAUCUUGUUAAGAAAUGCAAUGCUAAACAAAUACCUGGGGGUUCCAGAGCUAGAAUUCACCUAACUAUACUACUGAUCACUUUUAACUGUUGCCCCCCAUUUGGUGCAAAAAUGCUUGGUGGAAAUGCUUAUCACUUGCUUAUGAUACAGAUCAUCGCAACCCUUCUGAGCGAUUUACCAGCGAAAUCUAUUGGAGCUGAGUUGCAGCAACAUGUUACACUGCCUGGGAAUUAUUUUGCAUUGUUUCAGCCGAAGUCCCGAAGGCCACUUCAUAUCAUUGUUUUCGCUCAGGUGUCUUUGUUCAGCAAGCAGGCCAUAGCUGAAUCUCUGCAUGACAAGACGUCCCCUUGGCCACUGAUUAAAUUUGAGGUUCUUGUGCUACCUGACAACAAGUCAUCUGUGCUAAUUUCCUUUCUUUCCACAAGAAAGUGGAGCGUACUAGGAGGCCCAUCGCAAGAUGUUGCUGAACUAGAUGGUAUGGUGGGAAAGGUGGAACGAGUAUCUCAUAUGGGCAACCCCAUUCAUCUAUUCGUUGAGCAACAAAUGUCACUACCUGACCCUGACGACAACACAAGCAUGAAUAACAUACAAAUUGCAAUUAUGCACAAGUCAUGGGACCCCAGGAGCAUUACCAUGCCAACUUCGCAUCUUCAGCCGUCAAAGGUUACAGGGGCAAUGGUCUUUAGCAAGGAAGCACGAGCCGUGGGUGGAAUGGUGCCUUGUACCCUCUCUGGUCAAGAGCAUGCUGAAAGAAGGGGGUUGAAGAUCCUUAUGUCGAUGCUCACCAGCCAUGAGUGGUAUGUCGUUCUCUCAAUGCUGCUAUGA